AGCACACCCUGGAGUGACACAUCCUGGAGUCGGACUCCCUCCUCUCUGGUUCUGGGGUGUGUCACCCAAGAAUUGCC
rfam:Myotis lucifugus cont2.60214, whole genome shotgun sequence.